AAAGAAGUGGAUUUUGAAUUGUUUUAGGACAACUAAGUAAAAAGGUGAUGAUCCAAAUAUUUGCUACUCUAAAAAUGACUUCUGUUUUACUUGCACAACUCUAAAGUUACCAUAUAUGUAUAUAAGUCUGAAUAAUUAGACCCUCUGUUUAUUGUUUUCCCAAAAAUCCUAACAGAGGAAAUAUUUUUUUCAACACAUUUCUAAACAUAAUAGUUUUGAAUAACUCAUUUCUAAUAACUGAUUUAUUUUAUCUUCGCGAUGAUGACAGCACAUAAUAUUUGACUAGAUGUUUUUCAAGAUACUAGUAUGCUAGGAAAAUUCCUUGCUCUGUUAAACAUCAUUUGUAAAAUAUUUGAAAAGUAAAACACAAUUCACAGGAGGGCGAAUAAUCUUGACUUCAGCUGUAUAUUACUAGUUCAUCUGCUGUAAACUCAUUGUUUCAGAUGAGCAGACGCUAUGGAGUGAACAUAGGCCUGACGCAUGAGAAGCUGCCACAUCCUUCAAAGCUGAUGGUUAGAAAAAGAAGUCAAAGAGGACACGGACAUGCUGCAAACGUUCUCCAACACAUAGGAGAACUCCGGAUGAGACAGCGCCAUAUAAACCAGUUGAAGGGAGACAAAUGGUGGGGAGCCACAGCUGUUUUCGGACCUGAGGAGAUCGGUGGUCCACAGGAGAUCAAAGAGCAAAGGCUUGAGCAGCUUCUUGGCCUUUCAGCUGAUGUGAGCCUUAAUGAGAUAUUAGAGGACAAUCCGGAUUCAAGCAGGACAAAGCCUUAUGAAGCUCCUUACUCACCCACUCAUCAGUUCUCAUUUCCAGGAUAUGAGCAGUUUCUUGAGCUGGCUCCAGGAGGAAACCCCAUGAUGGCGUUUGUUGCAGGAACAGCCCAUAGAUCCCUCUUGACAGCUGAUGACGCCGCAGGGUUUUCUGGAGGAUCUGACGGGAUCCUGAGGAGCAAUGAUGACAAUGAUAAGAUCAGUCUUUCAAAUCUAGAGUUCUUUUGAAUUAGCUUGACUCUGUUUCGGCCAUGCUCACAUAUCAUUUGCUGUUGUUAAAUGUGUUUUUAUAAACGCAUUUGCAUUUGAUUUUUAUAGUUGCAGAUGUUUUAUGAUGAGUGUUGAGGUUUUUAAUGCUCAGUUCAUAAUGCAGGGGUAUUGGUGGAACGGUUCAUGAUGCAUUUGGCUUAUAGGUCAAGUUUUAAAAGAUAAAAGACUUGACUUUGUUCUCUUGGCUGGAUUGAAAGAAAGUUCUGCUUGGUCAUUUACAACUGAAAUAUUUAGUAAUGGAGACACAUGUUUGCUGUUUUGGCAUUUAUGAAUAUUUAAUUUAUGAUCCAUGUGAUUUUGAAUCUUCAUCCAACAAUUAAACAGGCAAUAAAAAAAAAACAACAUUUUCAAAUAUAUCCUGCAGGUAUGACAUUUAUAUAUUUGAAAACCAAAUAUGAACUUGUAUGUAUUUGCAUAAACUCCUCUAUAGUAUUUGGUCUAUGUGGGUCUCUG
rnacentral:lncRNA from 1 species